ACCUAUGAUGAUGACUGGUGGCGUAUGAGUCAUUGACGGUGAAUACAGGUCUGGAAGUCUGAGGUCCAAUAUAAUAAAAAAUCUAGUCUUCACCUUCUAUCCUAGGGAUAGACAUUAGGAAUAUUUGAGGAUGUUGUUCUUGGUCUUCACGUUCAUGCAUUUUCCCUCUAUUUUUAUAAUUGGAUCAAUGAAUCAAUAAGCAAAUAUAUUUUAACUGCAUAAAGAUAAAAAUAGGCGUUGUCCAAUUAUGGAAAUAUAUGGUGAAAUAAGAAAUACUAUUCACAUUUAUUAAAAACACUGAGGUCUUCUUUCUAUUAACAAAUAAAUGACUCAGAGGUAUUACUCGCUUGCUGCAGGAUGGCAUAUACAGUAAAAAUAAUAAUAACGUAUGUGAGGUCAUUUGGGUCAGGACCAUGUUCAUGGUUGUUUGUUUUCUCAAGAAAAAAUAGUUUCACACAUACUUACAUGACUAAUAGAAUGAAAGGAGAAAUGUGUGGAUAAAUGGACAGAAUAUUUCCAUCUUUUUAUCUUUUUUGCUUUGUACUCUCACAAUGAACACCCUCAAGUUGACUUAAGCACCCUUCCAUGGUCAUGAGGUUUCUGGUUGCCUCUGUGUGUUAGAAGCUUGGAGACCAAUGCCUUCUGCUGUGAUCGCGUUCUCCACAGUUGCCUCUGGGUAGGAGCCUGGACACUAAUAGAAAAUGGACACACCUGGGCUGGCAGAACAUCUUGCCUUGAUCUGGAGCCCCAUGUCUGCCCCUCUGUAGAGGUGCACAUGGGCCAAUGAUGGAUGCAAUGAGCUGAUCAUUUUGCUGUGAUCAAGGCUAUGUUGCCUCUGUGUUAGGCCAAUGGUUGAUGUUCAUGGGUGAUUGAUCAUCCUGUAGCGACGGUGGUAUUGACUGUUCCCCAGAGGACAAGGAGUGUGUUCUUAUGUGGAGGCUGUCUGCAGUAGGAGCAUGGAGACCAACAAUGGAUGCUCUUAAACUGAUUUAAGCACGCUUCCAUGGUCAGAAGCCUUAUGGUUGCCACAGGGUAUUAGGAGCAUGGAGACCAAUGUGAGUAAUCAUCAAAGUUUGCUUCUUGGUGUGGGUUGUUUGCUUAAAGGUAUUAUUAUUCACUCACUAUAUUAUUGAAAAGAGUGAAUUAUAAUCAAAGAAGACCAAUUGUUGUGCAGUGACAAAAUUGAUAUAAAGCACUAUAUAAAUUAAUGGGUAUAUGAAAAACUGAAGAUAAUAAAGGAGAGAUGAUGACAUAAGAUGACUUUAUAUACAGACUAGAAAUAUCAAGUUUCUCCUUGGGUUUUGUGAAUAUAGGGCUUUAAAAUUAUUAGUGAACGAAUUAACUAAUCAAUGGAUAAUGUGGAAGUGAGAGGAGAAAAAGAGAACCAAUCCUGGAUUGAUGAUAUGAUGGCCACUGGUGGCUUAUGAGUCUUAUACAGUGAAUACAUGUUUGAAACUCUGAGGUCUGUUAGAAAAGAUACAUGGCCCAUUCUCUCUGUUUCAAAUGAUGCUACAGAAAUAAUUCAGAAAUGUUUUUAUUUGUGAUAAUUUCAU
rnacentral:lncRNA from 1 species